rnacentral:rRNA from 1 species
GACGAACGCUGGCGGCGUGCUUAACACAUGCAAGUCGAACGGAAAGGCCCUGCUUUUGUGGGGUGCUCGAGUGGCGAACGGGUGAGUAACACGUGAGUAACCUGCCCUUGACUUUGGGAUAACUUCAGGAAACUGGGGCUAAUACCGGAUAGGAGCUCCUGCUGCAUGGUGGGGGUUGGAAAGUUUCGGCGGUUGGGGAUGGACUCGCGGCUUAUCAGCUUGUUGGUGGGGUAGUGGCUUACCAAGGGUUUGACGGGUAGCCGGCCUGGGAGGGUGACCGGCCACAUGGGGACUGAGAGACGGCCCAGACUCCUACGGGAGGCAGCAGUGGGGAAUAUUGCACAAUGGGCGGAAGCCUGAUGCAGCAACGCCGCGUGCGGGAUGACGGCCUUCGGGUUGUAAACCGCUUUCGCCUGUGACGAAGCGUGAGUGACGGUAAUGGGUAAAGAAGCACCGGCUAACUACGUG